AUAUCAACACAUGUGGAAGAUUGAAGAUGAUUCCAGAAGGACUGAAGAAUGUGCCACUUGAUCAAUUGAAGUUAUUAAGUAUGCCUGAAGAAUUCAUGACUAGGAUUAAGGAGAAUACAGGAGAAGACUAGUAUAAGAUACAACAUGUGCCCAACAUCUCCAUUUAUUAAUAAUAUUAACUUAUGCAGCGGCACAAUGGAUAAAUAUUCAAUUGUUAGGCUAAUGUUAGCUGCCUUCAAAGUGGUUCCUGUUAAGGAGAUGCACAAGCUUAAGGAGUCUAUUGCUGCGGUUCGGCGUUGUAUCCAGUUUUCAAGCCUCCCACGCGAGGAGCCGGAUCCCAACAGGCACGAUGAGUUUUCCUGCUAGUUGUCCUCCUUUUUGCUGAUGUGUCUUAGAGGAGUCCCUCUCUCCUCCUCCCUGUGUCUCAGUGUGUUGUCUCGUCUCUUAGUGUUUGUUUCCCCUGUUGUGUGCUUUUGUUUCCACUUCUAGUGGAG